AGUGAACGCUGGCGGCAGGCCUAAUACAUGCAAGUCGAACGGCAGCACAGCAGAGCUUGCUCUGUGGGUGGCGAGUGGCGGACGGGUGAGGAAUACAUGGGAAUCUGCCCAGUCGUGGGGGAUAACGUAUGGAAACGUACGCUAAUACCGCAUGCGCCCUACGGGGGAAAGUCGGGGACCGCAAGGCCUGACGCGAUUGGAUGAGCCCAUGUUCGAUUAGCUAGUUGGCGGGGUAAAGGCCCACCAAGGCGACGAUCGAUAGCUGGUCUGAGAGGAUGAUCAGCCACACUGGAACUGAGACACGGUCCAGACUCCUACGGGAGCAGCAGUAGGGAAUAUUGGACAAUGGGCGCAAGCCUGAUCCAGCCAUGCUGCGUGAGUGAAGAAGGCCCUCGGGUUGUAAAGCUCUUUUGUUGGGGAAGAAAGCAGCUGGUUAAUACCCGAUUGUUCUGACGGUACCCAAAGAAUAAGCACCGGCUAAC
rnacentral:rRNA from 1 species